GGACGAACGCUGGCGGCGUGCUUAACACAUGCAAGUCGAGCGGGAUCCAACCGGUGGCAACACCGGGGAAGAUCUAGCGGCGAACGGGUGAGUAACACGUGAGCAACCUGCCCCGAAGACUGGGAUAACACCGGGAAACCGGUGCUAAUACCGGAUGUCGUCAUUAGGCCGCAUGACCUGAUGAUGAAAGGNUUCAUCGCUUCGGGAGGGGCUCGCGGGCUAUCAGCUUGUUGGUGGGGUAACGGCCUACCAAGGCGACGACGGCUAGCUGGUCUGAGAGGACGACCAGCCACACUGGGGACUGAGACACGGCCCAGACUCCUACGGGAGGCAGCAGUGGGGAAUCUUGCGCAAUGGGCGAAAGCCUGACGCAGCAACGCCGCGUGGGGGAUGAAUGCCUUCGGGUU
rnacentral:rRNA from 1 species